GGGGAUUUAGCUCAGUGGUAGAGCGCUUGCUAAAGUGCAAGGCACUGGGUUCAGUCCCCA
rnacentral:tRNA from 1 species